ensembl:snRNA U6 U6 spliceosomal RNA
GUGCUCACUUCGGCAGCACAUAUUCUAAAAUUGGAAUGAUACAGAGAUUAGCAUGGCCCCUGCACAAGCAUGACGUGCAAAUUCGUGAAGCGUUGCAUAUUUUU